rnacentral:rRNA from 1 species
UGGGGAAUAUUGGACAAUGGGCGAAAGCCUGAUCCAGCCAUGCCGCGUGUGUGAAGAAGGUCUUCGGAUUGUAAAGCACUUUAAGUUGGGAGGAAGGGCAUUAACCUAAUACGUUAGUGUUUUGACGUUACCGACAGAAUAAGCACCGGCUAACUCUGUGCCCCCCAGCCUAAAUAAAGUAAAAUGUAGGGGGGGGGGGAAAAAAAAAAGUGUGGCGGGGGGCUUUUUUGUUUUUAUCGAGGGCAUCGGGGUGGUGUGUUUUUAGGGUUGUGUUGUAUGUAUGUG